UCGGUUCCGGUUCACGCCCGAUACCCACAGGUCAUGUACGGGCGACCCGGCGGCC
rnacentral:ncRNA from 1 species